GAUGAACGCUAGCGGCAGGCUUAAUACAUGCAAGGCGAGGGGGCAGCAAUGUCACCGUCGUACGGGUGCGUAACGCGUAUGCAACCUACCUAUCACUGGGGGAUAGCCCGGGGAAACCCGGAUUAAUACCGCAUGACACAUUUGUGUAGCAUUACAUGAUUUGUUAAAGAUUUAUUGGUGAUAGAUGGGCAUGCGUUCGAUUAGCUAGUUGGCAGGGUAACGGCCUACCAAGGCAACGAUCGAUAGGGGAGCUGAGAGGUUGAUCCCCCACACGGGCACUGAGGUACGGGCCCGACUCCUACGGGAGGCAGCAGUAGGGAAUAUUGGGCAAUGGAUGCAAGUCUGACCCAGCCAUGCCGCGUGCCGGAUGAAGGCCCUCAGGGUUGUAAACGGCUUUUAUUCGGGAAGAAGAGCAGGGAUGCGUCCCUGUGUGACGGU
rnacentral:rRNA from 1 species